rnacentral:rRNA from 1 species
AUUGAACGCUGGCGGCAGGCCUAACACAUGCAAGUCGAACGGUAACAGGGAUCAGUUUGCUGAUUCGCUGACGAGUGGCGGACGGGUGAGUAAUGUCUGGGAAACUGCCUGAUGGAGGGGGAUAACUACUGGAAACGGUAGCUAAUACCGCAUAACGUCGCAAGACCAAAGAGGGGGACCUUCGGGCCUCUUGCCAUCGGAUGUGCCCAGAUGGGAUUAGCUAGUAGGUGGGGUAACGGCUCACCUAGGCGACGAUCCCUAGCUGGUCUGAGAGGAUGACCAGCCACACUGGAACUGAGACACGGUCCAGACUCCUACGGGAGGCAGCAGUGGGGAAUAUUGCACAAUGGGCGCAAGCCUGAUGCAGCCAUGCCGCGUGUAUGAAGAAGGCCUUCGGGUUGUAAAGUACUUUCAGCGGGGAGGAAGGGAGUAAAGUUAAUACCUUUGCUCAUUGACGUUACCCGCAGAAGAAGCACCGGCUAACUCCGUG